UACGUAGGGUGCGAGCGUUAAUCGGAAUUACUGGGCGUAAAGCGUGCGCAGGCGGUUCGUUAAGUCAGAUGUGAAAGCCCCGAGCUUAACUUGGGAAUGGCAUUUGAAACUGGCGGGCUGGAGUGUGGCAGAGGGGGGUGGAAUUCCACGUGUAGCAGUGAAAUGCGUAGAGAUGUGGAGGAAUACCGAUGGCGAAGGCAGCCCCCUGGGAUAACACUGACGCUCAUGCACGAAAGCGUGGGGAGCAAACAGG
rnacentral:rRNA from 1 species